AAAAAACUAUCUCCAAUAUUGCGACCACACUUAUAGACCACCAUUGGGGGUUCCUUGAAGAGGUGUGCGAUUUUUUUGUCUAAUUGCAGAAUAUGCCAGUGCUUUUUCAGGAUUGCGUUCAUUUUCUCCGAACUCUUGGUGUCCUUAGUGCAAAAGACGGUUGCGUUGUUUUUCUUSUUUGGUUGAGUUUUUAGUAAUUCCCCUCUUGGUUUUUGAGAUAUUUUCAUCAUUGCAGCAUCAAGAGUUUUGUCCUUGUAGUCUCUCAUUUUGAAUGUAUCUGUCAUUUCUUUUAGCAUUGCUGUCAAAAUCUGUCUGGUGGCCACAGAUUAAUUUAACCCUGCAUGACUGACUAUAUGGUAGACCAUUCUUGAGGGGAAAGGGAUGCAUACUAUCCGCACAUAGCAAGGUAUUGUGGUCUGUGGGCGUUGUGUAUAAGUCUGUGUGUAAUGCAUUAUURUCUUUGAUGAUCUAAGUCCAUAUAGCACAACAGAAGAAGAGUUCAACUGUGGAUUGGAAAAGUAGCAGUCUGAAAGAAUACGUUCAUGACAUUGAUGGGUCCUGUUUGCAACAGAUGACAAUCUGCCUCCAUGAUGAUGUCUGCAACAGGCAGAUAGUUCCUCUUGUGCAGACGUGUUUGGCAAAGCAAUGCAACAGCACUCACUGUCGACAGGUCACUCAACAGCUCUACGCUGGUCUGCCAUACAACAUCGCAGAGAUGUUCGUCCUCUGUGAAUGUGACCCAGGCGAUCCGGACUGUCUGCAUAUGAAGGAGGGUCUGCACAGUGGCACAUGUGGAGAACAUUUGGAGGAGGCCAGGACCCAAAUCUGUCUGGAAAUCUUUGACAACUGCCUGGGGGAGGCGCUCUGCAGGAACCGUUUAGAAGCUCUCCUAUCAAACUGCUGGGAUACUGAAGACACACCGUGCAGUGAUUUUUCUAUGGAUGAAUGCACUAGUCUUCUGGAUCCUGCUCUUAUUCUGGGAGGAGAUGCAAAGUGCAGAAUGUCUUUGAUUGCUACCAUGGGAACAACACUUCAGCAUCCCUGUACAUGUGGUGGACUUCACAACAAAGACCUAUUCAAGUGCAACAUGAUGCGUGAAGUACUUCACAACCGAACGCAUUUUAUGUCACCAGUGAAGAAAGAAAGUACUCCUUAUGUGCCACCUCCAAUGAGUGAAUCAGAAUCAGGAUACGAAUGGUUGAGUGGUAAUAUUUGAAGUUKUCCUUCAACUGUAAUGCUAAAUGUCAGCACUGUAAUGGUUGUUGUGUCUAUUCAAAAUGGUUUGGAGACAGUCAAAUCAAUAGACAUCCACCAGCAGAGCUUCAAAUGAAAGUGUACUUUGUUUUUUCAGAUCAGCUGGUGAAUGUUUUUGCAUACAUACUGCUUGUUGCAGUAGUACUGUUGGGAGUCAUGAUUGUUUUUCACAUACGGACGCACAGAGGGAACGAAAAGCCUCAAUUUCACCCUCCUGAUAAAAAUAGUGUUGUAAUUUUCUGACCUUGACACUCAAAC